rnacentral:tRNA from 1 species
GAGAGUAUAGCUCAGUGGUACAGUGCAUGCUUAGCAUGCACAAGGUCCUGAGUUCAAUCCCCAGUACCUCCA